rnacentral:tRNA from 1 species
AAGACACUAGUAAAAUAUUACACUACAUUGUCAAUGUAAAGUUGCGAGUUAAACUCUCGCGUGUCUUA